rnacentral:rRNA from 1 species
AGCAGCCGCGGUAAUUCCAGCUCCAAUAGCGUAUAUUAAAGUUGUUGCAGUUAAAAAGCUCGUAGUUGAAUUUCGGGGUUCAUCCGUUGGUCGGGCUUUUUGGUCUGUACUGGCGUGAUGGAUUCCUACCUUCUGAAUAACCGGCAUGCCAUUAAUUUGGUGCGCCGGGGAAGCAGGACUGUUACCUUGAAAAAAUUAGAGUGCUUAAAGCAGGCUUAUGCCUGAAUACAUUAGCAUGGAAUAAUGAAAUAGGACGGCAUGGUUCUAUUUUGUUGGUUUCUAGGAUCACCGUAAUGAUUAAUAGGGAUAGUUGGGGGCAUUAGUAUUCAAUUGUCAGAGGUGAAAUUCUUGGAUUUAUUGAAGACUAACUUCUGCGAAAGCAUUUGCCAAGGAUGUUUUCAUUAAUCAAGAACGAAAGUUGGGGGAUCGAAGACGAUCAGAUACCGUCGUAGUCUUAACCAUAAACUAUGCCGACUAGGGAUCGGACGAUGUUAAUUUUUUAAUGACUCGUGCGGCGCCU